rnacentral:misc_RNA from 1 species
AAGUCGUAACAAGGUUUCCGUAGGUGAACCUGCGGAAGGAUCAUUAACACGUAUCCAACGUUAACUUGCCGCCCGUGACAAUCAGCAAUCCUGGUAAAUCAAGUGGGAAUAUCCGUUAUUGAUUCAGGACCUCUGCUGUCAUGUGUUAGGGAAACCAUAGCGGCAAUUGAGAGCUUUUAUCGUUAGUUUGGCGUCCUGGCCGGGCGAGUGAAAGUGUCGCUAGACGGUUUCUAGGGUAAGGCUUCGCCAUCGCUGGAGGCUCACCACGUAGCCGGCGGACAAACUACAGGGCUAUAUGCCCCCUAAUGACGACCAAGUUAAAUAGGGCCUCUGUCACAUAGCAAGUGCGCCGUGCCAGAGGAAAAGUACAACUGUUAACAAUGGAUAUCUUGGUUCUC